rnacentral:lncRNA from 1 species
AGUGAUGUAAUCCAAAGGGCUGAGAGAAUGAGAGCCUAAUAUAGAUUCUAGACUGAGCCUGAAGGCUUGAGAACCAGGAGUACUGAAGGCAGGAGAAGAUCAGGGUCUUAGCUUAGUCAGGCAGAAAAUGAAUUUGAAUUUUGUCUUCCUUUUUGUUCCCUUGAUUCCCUCUAUAGAUCGGAUGAUAUUCACCUGUCAAUGAGGUUUGGCGUUUCUGGCUUUCGGAUUCUGGCAGAACAUCAGAACUCUUACAUUAAAGAAUGGUGUCUAAUUUCUGCAAAGAAGACAUCCAGAUGGCGAACAGACACAUGAAAAAGUGCUCCAUAUCACUCGGCAUCAGGGAAAUACAAAUCAAAACCAC